CAUGUUGUUGUCCUCAGCCCACCUGUAUAUUGUGUCCAGCUCAUGUUGCAGAUGCGCAAUAUUUUCAGGGUUUUGUAUUGCGUGGGAGACUUUUGUGUCAUCUGCAUAGCUAGCAAGGGUGGUCAUCGUAGCAACUGAAGGCAUGUCUGAAAGGGCCACUAUGAACAUCAGUGGCCCCAAGACAGUGCCCUGUGGGACACCGCUUGUUAUUUGCGUUUCCUUGGAGGUGGCUCUAUUGCUCACAACUGCCUGUUUUCUGUCUUUUAGGAAGUUGUGCAGCCACUCUCCAAGUUUCCCGCCUAUGCCGAGACCACGCAGUUUGUGACAGAUCAUACCAUGGUUGACUUUAUCAAAGGCUUUUGCAAAGUCGAGAUAUAUUACAUCCACAUUUGAGCCAUUUAGUAGCUGUUUCAAUACCCAGUCAUAGUGUUGCAGGAGCUGUGUUAGGCAGCCUCUACCUGGUCGAAAUCCAUGCUGUGUGUCAGACAGUAAGUCAUUUUCUUCAAGGAACAUGAUUAGUUUCUUACGGACUAUUCGUUCCAUGACUUUGCUGAUGUGUGAGGUCAGAGAGAUAGGCCUAUAAUUUUUAGCAUCUGCUCUGCUACCUCCCUUAUGGAUAGGGCAUAUUACCCCCUCUUUCAGUUUGACUGGGAGCUUACCACUUGCAAGAAAGCUCUGAAAAAGAAGCUGUAGCGGUUUUGCAAGGGCUCGUUUGCACGAUUUGAGAAGGAUCGCUGGGAAUCCAUCAGGUCCAGCAGCUGAGUUUGUGUCAAUCUCAUCAAUGGCUAGUGUGAUAUCAUCAUCUUCGAUGUUGAUGUACUCAAUUUUUGUCUCUUUGGCCGCUGGUAAAGUGGCAAAGAAUUCUUCUGGGUUGUUUACUUGCCUGUGUCCUAGAGGUGUAGUGAACACACUUUGGAACUGUUCAUUCAGUAUUUCACUUAUCCUCGUGGGAUUUCCUGUGAGAGAGCCAUCUUUUUGGAAGAGAGGUCCUAUUCUCUGGUGCACUGUGGCUGUCUCUUUGGCAAACUUAAAGAAAGCUUUAGGGUUUGAUUUUAUAUUUUCUAUUACCCAAGCUUCUUUAUCUGCUCUCUCCUUUCCAUGGGACUGAUGUAGACUUUUCUCAGUUUCCAUUAGCAUUCUUUCGAGCCGAGACUUCUCACCACUUUUGGUGUGCUUGCUCAGGCGGCUUGCAAUAUAUACACAUAUAUAUCAUCAUCAUCAUCAUUUAACGUCCGCUUUCCAUGCUAGCAUGGGUUGGACAGUUCAACUGGGGUCUGGGAGCCCGAAGGCUGCACCAGGCCAGUCAGAUCUGGCAGUGUUUCUACAGCUGGAUGCCCUUCCUAACGCCAACCACUCCGAGAGUGUAGUGGGUGAUUUUAUGUGCCACCGACACAGGUGCAGAUGAGGCUGGCGAACAGCCACGCUCGGAUGGUGUUUUUUAUGUGCCACCGACACAGGUGCCAGACGAGCCUGGCAGACGGCCACGCUCGGAUGGUGUUUUUAUGUGCCACCGACACAAGUGCCAGAUGAGGCUGGCGAAUGGCCACGAUCGGAUGGUGUUUGUUACGUGCCCACAGCACGGAGGCCAGUCGAUGCGGUACUGGCUACGGCCACGUUCAGAUGGUUUUCUUGUGUGCCACCGGCACUGGUACCACAAAGAUACAAAUUCCAUUGAUGUUCAUCUAUUUUGAUUUGGUUUGAUUUUUAUAUAUAUAUAUAUAUAUAUAUAUAUAUAUAUAUACAUAUAUAUACAUAUAUACACAUAUAUACAUAUAUAUAAUCAUAUCAGCCGAAAUUACUACGAUGAUCCGGUUCUUGACUGAAGACUGAGGGUUUCGAAUGUCCUGUCCGUGUUUAUUGUAUCGUCUUCUAAGAGUUAUACGUUCUUGUCCAUGUUGUAUUUUUCUACAUACCUUAACAUAUAUAUAUAUACAUAUAUAUACAUAUAUAUAUACACAUAUAUAUAUAUACACAUAUAUAUAUAUACACAUAUAUAUAUAUACACAUAUAUAUACAUAUAUAUAUAUAUACAUACAUAUAUAUAUAUACAUAUAUAUAUAUACAUAUAUAUAUAUAUAUACAUAUAUAUAUAUAUAUAUAUAUAUAUAUAUAUAUAUAUAUAUACAUAUAUAGAUAUACAUAUAUAUAUAUAUAUAUAUAUAUAUAUAUAUAUAUAUAUAUAUAUAUAUAUAUAUAUAUAUAUAUAUAUAUAUAUAUAUACAUAUAUAUAUAUAUAUAUAUAUAUAUAUACAUAUAUAUAUAUAUAUAUAUAUAUAUAUCAUAAUUCAAAUACAAACUUCUCAGUAUUACAACAAACAUUCUGUACAAUCAAUUCUACAUACUUCUCCUUAAAAUAAUAAUAAUAAUAAUAAUUAAAAGUAAUCAACAAAACGAACGAACAAAAUAAAAUUUAAUAAAACAUAUCAACCAGAAUGGCUAGCCACCAAAAAUCCAACAAAAACUGGUCUGAUAAUGAAGUCGACGUUCUUAUCAACACAUGGCAUGGCCUUACCGAAACAGAGAGCAUAGGUGCUUCGUGUCUGAACGAAAUUGCUAAACGAACAGUUCACCAUUUGCAAACUCGAUCUGAACAGCAGAUCCAAAAUAAAUUAAAACAAAUCGAAGUUGCUUUUAAAUUAAUAAAUAAACACUUCGAUAAACUGAGAUGUGUUUUCUCUUCGAACGCAUCACCGGCGCAACAACAACCUCAACAACAACAAACUCAGCGGCAACAACAACAACAACAACAGCUACAGCAACAACAACAACAGCUACAGCAACAACAACAACUUCAGCAGCAACAACCUCAGAGGCAACAACAACAACCUCAACAACAACAACAGGAUGAACCACUCCUUGAUUCAUCUACAAUGGCCGAUUUGCUAAAUGAAACGAUUGACUCCCCAGUCAUCAGGGUCACACAGCAGGAAGCACCACCCCUUCCUUUCACUGCCCCAGCAGCUCAAUCAUCAUCAUUGUCAACACCAUCUCCUCUGCUUACUACUACUAGUACUACUCCCACUAUAUAUCGACAAACAUCUUUGUCUUGGAAUCGACCUCCUCAAUCAUUACCACUGUCAACAUCUCUUCUACCUACUACUACUACUACUACAGCUACUACUACUAAUGCUAUCUCAAGGAAUUUACCUCCUACAGGUCACAAAGGUCGCCAAAACUUCAACAAACUAUCAUCUACACCUUUCACAGCUCACACACACACACGCACCUACACACCCACUCGAAACCCCAUCAUUUGCCGAUAUUCUCUUCGCCAUAGACUGUGCACUGAUAGAGACUGCAAAUUCACCCAUUUACCUGGAACAAAACGCUCUAUCCCCACAAACUACAACAGCAACCACCAUAAUACAACAUCACCACAACCACCAAUAUCUCAAACAAGGAAUCCCCAAAUCUGCCGCUAUUCCCAGCGAGACAGAUUGUGUUUGCACAGGGAUUGCCCCUUUACCCAUCUCCGGGACUCGUCGGACAUUUAAAGAUAACCACUCACAUAAAAAUAGUCAUGGCCACAGUCACCUGCGGUUCCCUAGACAGGAAACCACCUCUUCUUCCUCUUUUUUAGCUAUAAUGAAUCUAGCAAAAGAACUGGAAAAAAACAUCCGAGCUAUCACCCACCGCCAUCCACCAUUAUUACCCCACUACACAUGCCAUUAAAAAGCAAUCAAAUAAACAAAUCACCAAAACAAUUAAAACCAUCCACUCUCGCCUCAACAUUUCUGCUUAAUGCCCAAGGCAUCAGCCCUUCCACCAAUACACAAAAAUGGAAGAUAAGAUUCCUGGAGGACUGGGUCGAGGCCCAUCCAAACCACAUCCCUUUCUUCGUCCUCACUGAAACCCAUCUUAGUGACCUCCACUUGGAAGCCGAGGUGAAAGUUAAAAAUUUCAAAACCAUUCGUGCUGAUCGUGUUGGCAGAAGAAAGGGUGGGACUGCCAUUUAUGUCCAUGAUUCAUUCUCAACAGAAGCCAUGAACAUAUUUUCGAAUGGAUACUGCGAAGCAGUCGCUGUAUUCAGUCAAACCAACAACUUAACAGUAGUUGGGCUCUACAGACCACCCCAAACGCCCCUACCAUGCUUCAAGGAAUGCCUCAACAGCAUAAAGUGUUUCAUUCAGCAGUGUCAACCUGACAACAUUUUAAUGAUGGGAGAUUUCAACCUUCCCGGGGUUGACUGGUCUACAAACAGUCUGCCGCCAGGUUCUUCUCUCUCAACCCCUGACAGGGAGGCAGUGGAAUCACUUCUUGACUUAAAAAUUUCAAAACCAUUCGUGCUGAUCUAUGCUGGCAGAAGAAAGGGUGGGACUGCCAUUUAUGUCCAUGAUUCAUUCUCAACAGAAGCCAUGAACAUAUUUUCGAAUGGAUACUGUGAAACAGUCGCUGUAUUCAGUCAAACCAACAACUUAACAGUAGUUGGGCUCUACAGACCACCCCAAACGCCCCUACCAUGCUUCAAGGAAUGCCUCAACAGCAUAAAGUGUUUCAUUCAGCAGUGUCAACCUGACAACAUUUUAAUGAUGGGAGACUUCAACCUUCCCGGGGUUGACUGGUCUACAAACAGUCUGCCGCCAGGUUCUUCUCUCUCAACCCCUGACAGGGAGGCAGUGGAAUCGCUUCUUGACUUCAUGGAUGACUUCUUCUUGUCCCAACUGGUACUCGAACCAACGAGAUUCACAAAAACGUCUUGGACUUAAUUUUCAGCAAUCACACUGAUACUAUCCACAAUAUUGCAGUGGAGAAAACCCUACUCUCCGACCAUGACAUGGUUCUCUGUGAUCUGAGAUUUCACUGGCCAAAAUGCAAAACAAAUGUCAUCCCUCCUGUUCAUCCAUUUGACACUAUGGAUUUCCACAAUGCAAACUGGGAAGCGAUCAAUAAUGAUCUUGCACAAGUCGAUUGGUCCUUCACGCACACAUACACACCCACUAACAUUAAAAAAGUCCUGGCAGUCACUUGUAGACAUCAUCACGAACAUAUGUGCAAGACACACCCCAUUAAGAUCUGCAAACAAAUCUAAGUGUCGAAUCCCUAGAAAUAGAAAAUCUCUCAUAAGGAAAAUUAAAAGAAUCAACAAAAAGAUCAACAUGCUGAAAUACUGUCAACAGCAACACACCAACCUGACUGCCAUCUCGUCGCUAGAGAUUAAAAAACAUAAACUCCAAAACAACAUGAUGUCUAUCAUCAAUAGUCAGCGAAGAGCUGAAGAGGCCUGGGCCAUUGAGAAGAUCAAACUCAAUCCCAAAGUGUUCUUUUCAUUUGCAAAAAAACACAGAGUCACUGGUUCUACUGUUGGCCCUCUGAUUGAUGAAAAUGGUACUCUUCAAGACAAUGCCAAAACCAUGGGAGAGAUAUUGCAGAAACAAUAUUGCUCUGUUUUCAGCAAUCCUGAUAUGACUGAUCUGGGCUGUAUCAGUGAUGUUACUCCCCAAUACACUUUAUCGGACAUAACAUUUGGCGCUCCUGAUGUCUUAGCAGCAAUAAAGGAAAUGAAGCAUAAUUCAGCAGUAGGUCCCGAUAGGUUCCCUGCUUGUGUCUUGAAGAUGUGUCAAAACCAACUCGCACCCCCUCUAGCCAAUCUGUGGCGGAACUCACUGGAUGCUGGAUAUAUACCAGAGGACCUUCUAUCCCAGUCUGUUGUCCCAGUUUUCAAAAAAGGAAACAAAUCGCUUGCCGUGAAUUACCGUCCAAUCUCACUCACCUCUCAUAUCAUCAAGGUAUUUGAGAGGGUGCUGAGAUCGCGUAUGACUCACUUCCUUGAGAGGCAUAAUAUGCUGAACCCCAACCAGCAUGGAUUCCGUAAUGGGAGAGAUUGCCUGACACAGCUACUGCAUCAUUUUGAUGACAUUUUGAGAGCCUUGGGAGAAGGUUCCAACACUGAUGUCAUCUACCUUGAUUUCAGCAAGGCCUUUGACAGGGUUGAUCAUAAGAUCCUUCUGAGAAAGCUGUCCAAUAUUGGUGUCACUGGAAAGUUGCUGCAGUGGAUCAAGUGCUUCCUGUCUAACAGAACCCAACAUGUUGUAGUCGAAGGAGUCAAAUCCAGCCCAGCCAAAGUCAGCAGUGGUGUCCCACAAGGCACUGUGUUGGGCCCACUUCUCUUCAUCAUCUACAUAAAUGAUAUUACUGAUACCAUCAAACACAGUAACAUCAGAACCUUCGCUGAUGACUCCAAGCUCCAGAAGGUCAUCAAUGGCGUGGAUGACCGAAUAAACCUUCAGUCAGACCUACUGGCUGUUGUCCAAUGGGCGGAAAAGAAUAACAUGUUGCUAAAUGAAGACAAAUUUGAACUGAUCCACUUUGGAAGGGAGGACGCUCUGAAACUCCCAUACUCUCUUCCUUCUGGAGAAAUUCUCAUGGCAUCCAACAACAUCAGAGACCUGGGAGUAACAGUGGACAACAACAUAAGCUGGGCUACACAUAUAAGCAGCAAAGUUGACAUGGCCCGCAGAAUGUGUUCCUGGAUUCUCAGAACCUUCCAGUCGAGAGAUUCCCACGCUAUUAUCCUUCUCUUCUCCACUUUUGCCCGACCCCACCUUGAAUACUGCUGUCCACUGUGGUCUCCCUACACAAAACAAAAUAUUAUGAGAAUUGAAGCUCCCCAAAGGUCAAUCACAAAAAAGAUAGAUGGCAUGUCAGACCUUGACUACUGGGGUAGACUAGAGAAGCUGAAAUUGUAUUCACUCCAACGACGCCGUGAACGCUACAUUAUCUGUAUGAUGUGGAAAAUAUUCCACCAGCACUGUCCGAAUGAUGUUGGCAUCACCUUCAAAAUGCAUCCAAGGCUUGGACCACGUGCCAUCCGUCCACAACAAAAAUUUAAAUCGCAUCACAUAACGACAAUACGGCACAACUAUUUCACCUCAAUUGGACCUGCUCUCUUCAACAUUACACCAGGGCACGUCAAAAAAGAAACUGACCACACAAAAUUCAAGAAGUCUUUGGACAAAUUCCUUCAAACAGUACCGGACAAACCACCCACACCCGGAUAUGUCUCCGCAAACAAUAACUCUCUGCUAGAAUGGGCCUUGGUGCCCAAAUCCUGAACUGAAAGACUUCACCAGGUGGUGCUAUUAAGUUAGACAUGGCCUGGGCCAAUACUGGCCAAAACCUUUCUAAGUUAUUCUAAGUUAUAUAUAUAUAUACAUACAUAUACAUGUAAAUAUAUAUAUAUACAUACAUAUACAUAUAUACACAUACAUAUAUAUAUAUACACAUACAUAUAUAUAUAUACACAUACAUAUAUAUAUAUACAUAUACAUAUAUAUAUAUACAUAUACAUAUAUAUAUAUAUACAUAUACAUAUACAUAUAUAUAUAUACAUCAUCAUCAUCAUCAUCAUCAUCAUCAUCAUCAUUUAACGUCCGCUUUCCAUGCUAGCAUGGGUUGGACGGUUCAACUGGUGUCUGGGGAGCCCGAAGGCUGCACCAGGCCAGUCAGAUCUGGCAGUGUUUCUACAGCUGGAUACCCUUCCUAACGCCAACCACUCCGAGA
rnacentral:lncRNA from 1 species